GACGAACGCUGGCGGCGUGCCUAAUACAUGCAAGUAGGACGCAGUUGCGAACGGGUGAGUGACGCGUGGGUGUCUACCUAUUAGAGGGGGAGAACUAUUGGAAACGAUAGCUAAUACCGCAUACUAGUUGAUGGACCUGCGUUGUAUUAGCUAGUAGGUAGGGUAAUUGCCUACCUAGGCAAAGAUACAUAGCCGGCCCGGGAAGGGUGUCGGGCACCCUGGGACUUGGGAAAGGGCCAGACUUCCACCGGAGGGCGCAGUAGGGAAUCCUCGGCCAUGGGGGGAAACCUGAACGAGGCAAGGCGGGGGAGGGAAGAAAGGUUUCGGAUCGUAAAGCUCUGGUGGUAAGGAAGCGGUACUUAACCAGAAAGGGACGGCUAACUACGUGCCAGCAGCCGCGGUAAUUC
rnacentral:rRNA from 1 species